rnacentral:sRNA from 1 species
AUAUCUCUCCGUACGGGCAGGAUGAGAAGCUUCGACCAAGGUUCGAUUCGAGCGCAGCGAGAAAGCGUUGCCGCAGGCAACGACCCGAAGGGCGAAGCGCGCAGCGCUGAGUCAUCCUUCCCCCACCACCA